rnacentral:rRNA from 1 species
AUGAACGCUAGCGGCAGGCCUAACACAUGCAAGUCGAGGGGCAGCACAAAGAUAGUUUACUAUUUUGGUGGCGACCGGCGCACGGGUGAGUAACGCGUAUGCAACCUACCCUAUACAGGUGAAUAGCCCGGAGAAAUUCGGAUUAAUGCUCCAUAGUAUUGUUUUUUGGCAUCAUUUGGAAAAUUAAAGCUUCGGCGGUAUAAGAUGGGCAUGCGUCUGAUUAGCUAGAUGGUAAGGUAAUGGCUUACCAUGGCAACGAUCAGUAGGGGUCCUGAGAGGGUUACCCCCCACACUGGUACUGAGACACGGACCAGACUCCUACGGGAGGCAGCAGUGAGGAAUAUUGGUCAAUGGAGGCAACUCUGAACCAGCCAUCCCGCGUGCAGGAUGACGGCCCUAUGGGUUGUAAACUGCUUUUCUGCACCAAGAAAUACCCCGACGUGUUGGGGCUUGACGGUAGUGUAGGAAUAAGCACCGGCUAACUCCGUGCCAGCAGCCGCGGUAAUACGGAGGGUGCAAGCGUUAUCCGGAUUUAUUGGGUUUAAAGGGUCCGUAGGCGGGCCGAUAAGUCAGAGGGGAAAGUCUGCCGCUCAACGGUAGAACUGCCUUUGAUACUGUCGGUCUUGAGUUAUAGUGAAGUUGGCGGAAUAUGUAGUGUAGCGGUGAAAUGCAUAGAUAUUACAUAGAACACCGAUUGCGAAGGCAGCUGACUAACUAUUAACUGACGCUGAGGGACGAAAGCGUGGGGAGCGAAGAGGAUUAGAUACCUUGGUAGUCCACGCCGUAAACGAUGGAUACUAGCUGUCGUUGUCGGGAAUUUAUUCUCGGUGACUAAGCGAAAGUGAUAAGUGUCCCACCUGGGGAGUACGGUCGCAAGAUUGAAACUCAAAGGAAUUGACGGGGGCCCGCACAAGCGGUGGAGCAUGUGGUUUAAUUCGAUGAUACGCGAGGAACCUUACCAGGGCUUAAAUGUAGGAUGCAUGAUUUAGAGAUAGAUCUUUCUUCGGACUUCUUACAAGGUGCUGCAUGGUUGUCGUCAGCUCGUGCCGUGAGGUGUCAGGUUAAGUCCUAUAACGAGCGCAACCCCUAUUUUUAGUUGCUAACAGGUUAAGCUGAGGACUCUAGAGAGACUGCCUACGCAAGUAGAGAGGAAGGUGGGGAUGACGUCAAAUCAUCACGGCCCUUACGUCCUGGGCUACACACGUGCUACAAUGGUAUAGACAAUGAGCAGCCACUAUGCAACCAGGAGCGAAUCUAUAAACUAUAUCUCAGUUCGGAUCGGAGUCUGCAACUCGACUCAGUGAUGCUGGAAUCGCUAGUAAUCCGAUAUCAGCGAUGAUCCGGUGAAUACGUUCCCGGGCCUUGUACACACCGCC